UGUUCUCCCUGGUUACAUUCCCCAUCCAAAGAGCUAUCUAAAUCAGGGACUGUGGGCAACUUAUGAAUGGCUCGGCAGCGAGACCGGAGGUCACUGUCGUCCCCACUCUCCAUCAUCCUAAAGAAACAGUUAUGGAGUCCUGGGUGUGUCUGGCUGUCUGGUUUGGCAAUCACACACCUGUGCCUGAUCAGCCAUCCCUACUGCUUCUUAAGGAGAGGCCAGACAUCGAUUCCCUGCCAGAUUGUUAAACUGUGAACUAUAGCCUUUUCAACUUGUUCAGCCUGCCAGUCCUGAACCCACAGGGAGCCAGUCUCUUCCUGCCACUCUCCAGCCACCCACACCAGCCCCAGACCUCACCCUGCCUGCAACUCAGAAGGGAAGAACCCGUGCCCUCACUCUGCCUUUAGUUCUCUCACUCUACUGUUGAGAAUAAACAAAUAAAUGUUUAAAGUGC